rfam:Heterocephalus glaber contig140258, whole genome shotgun sequence.
AGGAAACAGGAAGAGGGGCCAGCCCCAGGCCCUGAAGCAAACAUAUGGGGCC